GCGAUCAUUGAUGGAACAAAUGAAUUCGGGAUCCCAUCGUAACUCCGCAGCUAAGCGUGCUUGGGCGAGUAGUACUAGAUGGUGACCGAAGUCCUCGAUGGGUGACCUGAAGUCCUCGUGUUGCA